UUCAGCCAUAAACCCCAACACAUUGUUUCCAAGUUCAUCCAUGAACAAGUACUAGAAUCAUUCAAACUUUCAAUAACUAAAACACCUUCUUUUCUCAUUAAAUCUUCUUCAAAAACCCACCUGAAACUUCUGUAUGUUUAUAAACUCACAUCUCCCAUAAAAAUAAUCUUCAUCUUAAGAGCUUUGCAUAGACAAAAAACUUGAAGAAAUUCACCAAGUAUAGAUUGAAGAGUUGGAGUUGAGACUUGAAGGGCAAGGAGCUUACGGAAUAAUUAUAUAGGCUUGGAGUCAAGAGUAAACCCCUAUGGCACUUCGACGGAGAAUGGAUAUGCGAGCGGAAACCCGAGUUGGAGUAUGAUUCCCCUUUUGUUUAGAUCUCUUUAUUGUAUUUGAGAGACUAUUAGUUUACAUUUAGAUUAUUUUAAGGAUGUAAUUUGAACUUUGGAUUUAUUUCGAUUUGGUUGUAAUUUUCUCA